rnacentral:rRNA from 1 species
UGGUGGUCUUUGGCCAUCCGAGUUGUAAUUUAGAGAAGCGUCUUCCGCGCUGGACCGUGCACAAGUCUCCUGGAAUGGAGCGUCAUAGAGGGUGAGAAUCCCGUCUUUGGCACGGACAUGCCAGUGCUUUUGUGAUGCGCUCUCGAAGAGUCGAGUUGUUUGGGAAUGCAGCUCAAAAUGGGUGGUGAACUCCAUCUAAAGCUAAAUAUUGGCGAGAGACCGAUAGCGAACAAGUACCGUGAGGGAAAGAUGAAAAGCACUUUGGAAAGAGAGUGAAACAGUACGUGAAAUUGUUGAAAGGGAAACGCUUGAAGUCAGUCGCGUCGACCGAGACUCAGCCUCGCCUUGGCUUGGUGUACUUCUCGGCCGACGGGUCAGCAUCAAUUUUGCCUCUUGGAUAAUGGCGAGGGAAAUGUGACACCUUUACGGUGUGUUAUAGUCUCUCGUCGCAUGCAAGGGUUGGGAUUGAGGAACUCAGCACGCGCCUUCGGGUGUCGGGGUUUUGCCCACGAUACGUGCUUAGGAUGUUGGCGUAAUGGCUUUAAACGACCCGUCUUGAAACACGGACCAAGGAGUCUAACAUGCCUGCGAGUGUUCGGGUGGAAAACCCGUGCGCGCAAUGAAAGUGAAAGUUGGGACCUCCGUCGUGGAGGGCACCGACGCCCGGACCAGACCUUCUGUGACGGCUCUGCGGUAAAGCAUGUAUGUUAGGACCCGAAAGAUGGUGAACUAUGCCUGAAUAGGGUGAAGCCAGAGGAAACUCUGGUGGAGGCUCGUAGCGAUUCUGACGUGCAAAUCGAUCGUCAAAUUUGGGUAUAGGGGCGAAAGACUAAUCGAACCAUCUA